rnacentral:lncRNA from 10 species
GGGGCGGGCCUGGGGAAGGGACUCCCGCGGCCCUAAGGUGCUGGCGGGCGUUUGGCGUUGCAGCUGUGUGGGCGCUGGUGCGUGCGAGUAGCGCUCGAAGAAACCCAAAGGCGUCGUGGGGCUGCCGUGUGCCCCAGAGAGCACUGCAGGCCGGGUAGGGGCUAAGGCUCCCCGCAGUCUUCUGUGUGUCGUCCAGUACGCAGUUGAAAUCGUUCUCCAACCUGGCCAGUCCUCCGAGGCCCUUCUCAGGCGACCAGACUCUGUUAACAGAGUCCAUUGCUAAAACUCCUCGUUAGUAUUUACCACUCCUCCAGUCUGUGUUUUGAAGCAGUGGUUUUCAACCACUGCCCGUUUUCAGAAGAAAUCAUCUCAAGCGUCCGUGUGCUGCUAGAAGCCGGGCCGGGAGGUCUUGGUGCCGGACUCCACCCUGCAGCCCUUCCCUUUCGCCACCGCCCUGUGCUUAGAGAAACCUUAGAGUGGAGCAAUGAGUCGCCCUUGACUGAGUAACUCUUCGGGGUCAACUUCUCCUUCCACGCCAAGGAAAGGAUUCCAGGGCGAUGUUUCUGGAAAUAGAGAUCUGACCAAGCCACUGCUCUGGUGAAAAUUCAGUGGGUCCCUAGCACCUAGUGCAGCGGCUCCUAGCCUGAGUAUUGCCGUCUUUCGGUGGGGAGGGGUUGGGUUUUUUUGUAGCAUCUGUUGAUCUGAUCUCCAACAUCCUCCACGUCAAUUCCCACUCCACCCACAUCCCUUAUCCUAUACGUAAGCUUUCCAGCCACGGUGCUGGCUUGGGUGGGGGUGCGUGCGGUGCUGACACCAAAAUGGAGGUCCCGUGUUUCUGAGAGUCUCUUUCAGAGCAAUGCAAACCUGAAACUACUCCUGCCAAGAAACGAUUGCAGCUCUUCCCGGAAAAGUUAAAGCCUUUGAGAAACAAAGCUGAGUAAGAAGGAGAACUAAGAAAGAGACUGAAGCAUGGUCUGUGGAGAAGGCACUUGUGCAAACACCAGGAGAAUGAGGGGCCUGAGUUGUCUUCGUUUCUCCUAAAAGCAUGCAUUCCCGGCUGGGCGCGGUGACUCAUGCGUGUAAUCCCGCCACUUUAGAAGGCUGAGGCAGGCGGAUCACCUGAGAUCGGGAGUUCGAGACCAGCCCGACCAACAUGGAGAAACCCCAUCUCUAUUAAAAAUACAAAAUUACCCAGGCAUGGUGGCACAUGCCUGUAAUCCCAGCUACUUGGGAGGCGAAGGCAGGAGAAUUGCUUGAACCCAGAAGGCGGAAGCUGCAGAGAGCCGAGAUUUCGCCAUUGUACUCCAGCCUGGGCAACAAGAGUGAAACUCCAUCUCAAAAAACAAACAAACAAACACACAAACAAACAAACAAACACAUUCCCUCCCAGGCCACCCAAGUGAGGGCAUGAAGCACAGCGUGUGUGUGUGUGUGUGUGUGUGUGUGUGCACGCGUGUGUGCAUAUGUGUGUUUGUGUGUUGCAGGGGUUACAGUGGACAGGAUGUGGGAGGGCAGCUGCAGCUCCAAGCUGCAAGUCUUUCUGAUAGAAUGCUUAAAACUCCUUGGACCACAGCAAGAGAGUGUUUUCAUUUGCACCCAUUUUUAUUAGCGUUUGAACCUGUACUUUUUGUAGCAUGUAAACCUUAAGCUGCUUAACUAUUCCUUGAAGCAUUUACACCAGCGGUUCCCAACCUUUUUGCUACCUGAGACCAGUUUUCUUGAAGACAAUUCUUCCACGGACCCGGGAGAAGGGGAAGGGAUGAUGUGGAGAUGAUUCAAGCCCAUUACAUUUAUUGUGUGCUUCAUUUCUAUUAUUUCACUGUAAUAUAUAAUGAAAUAAUUACACAACUCACCA